rnacentral:rRNA from 1 species
GACGAACGCUGGCGGCGUGCCUAAUACAUGCAAGUUGAGCGCUGAAGGUUGGUACUUGUACCCACUGGAUGAGCAGCGAACGGGUGAGUAACGCGUGGGGAAUCUGCCUUUGAGCGGGGGACAACAUUUGGAAACGAAUGCUAAUACCGCAUAAAAACUUUAAACACAAGUUUUAAGUUUGAAAGAUGCAAUUGCAUCACUCAAAGAUGAUCCCGCGUUGUAUUAGCUAGUUGGUGAGGUAAAGGCUCACCAAGGGGAUGAUACAUAGCCGACCUGGGAGGGUGAUCGGCCACAGUGGGACUGAGACACGGCCCAAACUCCUACGGGAGGCAGCAGUAGGGAAUCUUCGGCAAUGGACGAAAGUCUGACCGAGCAACGCCGCGUGAGGGAAGAAGGUUUUCGGAUCGUAAAACUCUGUUGGUAGAGAAGAACGUUGGUGAGAGUGGAAAGCUCAUCAAGUGACGGUAACUACACAGAAAGGGACGGCUAACUACGUG